rnacentral:rRNA from 1 species
AUUGAACGCUGGCGGCAUGCCUUACACAUGCAAGUCGAACGGCAGCGGACCUUCGGGUGCCGGCGAGUGGCGAACGGGUGAGUAAAGUAUCGGAACGUACCUUUCAGUGGGGGAUAACGUAGCGAAAGUUACGCUAAUACCGCAUAUUCUCUGAGGAGGAAAGCAGGGGACCUUCGGGCCUUGCGCUGAUGGAGCGGCCGAUAUCAGAUUAGCUAGUUGGUGGGGUAAAGGCCUACCAAGGCGACGAUCUGUAGCGGGUCUGAGAGGAUGAUCCGCCACACUGGGACUGAGACACGGCCCAGACUCCUACGGGAGGCAGCAGUGGGGAAUUUUGGACAAUGGGCGAAAGCCUGAUCCAGCCAUGCCGCGUGAGUGAAGAAGGCCUUCGGGUUGUAAAGCUCUUUCGGCCGGGAAGAAAUCGUGUGGGCUAAUAUCCUGCAUGGAUGACGGUACCGGAAUAAGAAGCACCGGCUAACUUCGUGCCAGCCGCCGCUGUAAGAC